ACAGUCACACAUUAGAUACCCGGGUAGUCCAGGGUGUAAACGCUGCGGGCUUGGUGUUGGGGGUCCUUAGUGGGCGCCCAGUGCCAGAGAGAAGUUGUUAAGCCUGCUACUUGGGGAGUACGUCCGCAAGGAUGAAACUUAAAGGAAUUGGCGGGGGAGCACCGCAACGGGAGGAGCGUGCGGUUUAAUUGGAUUCAACACCGUAAAACUCACCAGGGAAGACUGUUACAUGAAAGCCGAGAUGAAGACUCUGCUAGAUUUUCAG
rnacentral:rRNA from 1 species